GUCAGGUUGGCUCAGUUG
rnacentral:misc_RNA from 1 species